UCAUUAGAUUAACAGAAACGUUCAACUGUGAAGUUACUAAGCUUAAAUAUGGAAAACAUAAGAAAGCAUAGUGAAGCGUUCCUUUUUUAGAUAAUAGUAAAGAAGAUGCAUUCUGCAGCAAUUUGUAAAAUGAGCGUAUUACAGAUUGUGAAAUCGCAGGGCGAUGCUACGGGAGAUGCUGGCAAGAGCGAGGGAAGGAGAUGCAGCCGGGGCAGCGAGAUAAGCUGAGGCGGAUUCUCCAUUACAUCUCAGAAAAGCGCCGCGGCGUCGACAGCGUCUUAUGGCGCAGUAAAGAAUUAUAUUCCAUCGACGCCGCCGUCUCUGCUGCGCUGCUGCGUACAGUGAGCA